AACGAACGCUGGCGGCGUGCUUAACACAUGCAAGUCGAACGAUGAAGCUGGAUCUUGCUCUGCCCGAUUACCGGCGAACGGGUGAGUUACACGUGAGCACGCUGCCCUGGACUCUGGGAUAAGCGUUGGACACGACGUCUAGUACCCGCUACGAGACACCACGGCACCUUCAGCCUCUGUCAAACACUACGGUCCAGGAUGAGCCCGCGCCCUAUCAGGUUGUUGGGGAGGUAAUGGCCCACCAAGCCUACGACCGGUAGCCGGCCUGAGAGGGUGACAGGCCAAACUGGGACUGAGACAAGGCCCAGACUCCUACGGGAGGGAGCAGUGGGGAAUAUUGCACAAUGGGCGCAAGCCUGAUGCAGCAACGCCGCGUGAGGGACGACGGCAUUCGGGUUGUAAACCUCUUUUAGCAGGGAAGAAGCGAAAGUGACGGUACCUGCAGAAAAAGCACCGGCUAACUACGUGCCAGCCGCCGCGGUAA
rnacentral:rRNA from 1 species